AGUUUGCUUAACAGAUUGAACUAUUCCCAUGUGUAAAUCAGUUUGCACUUCCUAGAAUAGAUUGAGUGGAAGAACAGAAUGCAACAAUUUUUAAUUCUGUUUGCUGUAUUGGCCUUUGGGUUAUGUUACCCAACUGGUCAUAUAUCAGAUAAUGCCAACGCCAGAAAACUGUUUGCUCGUGUCGACAUGGAUAACGAUUCUUCUCUAAGUAUUCAGGAUUUUGAAGGAAUUUUUAAACGUUUUGACUUAAAUGGUGAUGAUAAAAUAGAACGCGAGGAAUUUGUAAAACACUGGGCUGUAGAAAAACUUGGUACUCCCCCAGAAGCUGUUAAUCUGUUCAAUAAUCUAGAUGUGAAUAAAGAUAGUGUCAUCUCUCACUCCCCAGAUCUACCAU